rnacentral:rRNA from 1 species
UACAGAGGUCUCAAGCGUUGUUCGGAUUCAUUGGGCGUAAAGGGUGCGUAGGUGGCGCGGUAAGUCGGGUGUGAAAUUUCGGAGCUUAACUCCGAAACUGCAUUCGAUACUGCCGUGCUUGAGGACUGGAGAGGAGACUGGAAUUUACGGUGUAGCAGUGAAAUGCGUAGAUAUCAGGAGGAACACCGGUGGCGAAGGCGGGUCUCUGGGCAGUAACUGACGCUGAGGAGCGAAAGCGUGGGGAGCGAACAGG